rnacentral:lncRNA from 1 species
CUGCCUACUAGAGGCACCAGCUUCCUGGCUGCCUGCCUGUUAAACUGAGUCUGUGUCUCUUUGUCAUUCAUUCUUGUUUGCUUCCGGGUCAGCGAGAACAAAGUCGUGGGUUUAGGUCCCCCACAUGUGGUGCCUGGUUCACGUAAUCAACACUGAAGUCAAAAUACAGAACUGUUCUCCCAGAAGGCUCUACCUUGCUAUGUCUUCAUAGCCAAUCCACUCGUCUCCCAUUUCUAACCCAUGACAACCAGUAACCUGUUUCCUAUCUCCAUCAUUUCCCUUCAGCCCCCCUUCUGCCUUGCAAUGCAGUGACACAGCUUGCAUUCUGCCCAGCUCUCACUGUGGUCCAUUGCCUGGGGGCAGAAACUUCUGGGACACCAAACAGAGGGAACUCAAAUGAUAGCCACAAGAAAUAAUACUGUCCCGGGAAGAAAAUACUGGCAAAGAGAAUGAAAGAAGAGAACAACCCAGAGAAGAGAGCAUCUUACUGUUGCUUAACCUGUAAUGGAACAGCUAGAGUAGGAAGAUAGGGUUGACAGACUCAAGUGAGCAGGGAGCUCUGCCUGGCUACACCAGUGCCCUCCAUGUCCCUUUGGGUGGCUCCGCCAAUGCCUGCCUGUCUGCUGCUGCUGCCCUUGUGGUACCCUACAUGCCUGUGUCCCUUCAUCUCUGUCCUCAUGGGGCCCAACAGCUUCUACCUCCUGUUGCCUUCCAGUCUUCCAGAGCCCCCCACCCCUGCCCCGAAUUGUGCUACAAGGGACUGUGGGAAAACAAGCCUCAGGCUCGUGGGCUGUCUGCCUUGGGGAGAGCAGAGAAACAUCGCAGAGUGACAGUACCACCAUCAGUACCAAAAUGCGACUUCACUGUCACCUGACUGCUUUCUGGUGUCAUUUUUGUGGCACUGUUAUGAUGUUAGUGCAUUCAUGUACAGAGCUAGGCAUCAUCUGCUGCAGUGGGGAAGGAAGAAUAGGAAAAAGUAUAGGAGUCUUGUUCACCUCUCUCCCCAGCACCUGUCACGGUAUUCCACAGACAACAGACAUUCAAUAAAUAUUGGCGUCUUAGUAUGUGUUUCUCCUGUAGAGAGUUCCUAGUGUCCCUCAGAUGUCUCAGUCUCCAUGCUACUAGAGACUAUAUAAAUGAAUUGUAUGUUCCCUUUGGAGGAUAAUUUGUUAAGCUACAUCAAAGCCUGGAGAAUGUACAUAUUGUAUGGCCAGCAAUUUCUAGGAAUUUAUUAUAAAGGAAUAAUAGAACUAAUAUAUAAAAUGGCAUGUUUACAAUAUAGAAAAAUGUAAAUGUCCUUUCAUAGGAAAUGUGUUUGGUAUAUUUCUAGAAUGGGAUAUUAUGCAGUGAUUAAAAAUGAUGGUGAAUUUGAUUGACAUGUGUGAAGGUUUAAUCCUGAUUGUCAAGCUGAUUGAAUUAAGAGAUAGAUGACUACAGAGAUGACUGAUUUGUGAGGGCUCUAACUUCAUCAAUCAACCAACCCAUUGAUGAGUUCUUAGCUGAAUGGGCUACUGGGAGGUGGGGCAUAGUUGGGAGACGUAGGUCACUGAGGGGAGGGUUAUAUUGAAGGGUAUGACUUUUCUCAGGCUCGCUUUCCUUCCUGGCUUCCAUGGGGUCAGUGGCUUUCCUCUGCCAUGCCAGUUCACCUUAGUGCUUCUCCCUCACCACAAGCCUACAACAGUGGAAUAGGAUAACCAUGGACUGAAGCCUCUGAAACUGUGGGCCAGAAUAAAUCUUUCCUCCUUAAAGUUGUCUUUCUGGGGUAUCUAGUUACAGCAAUGAAAAGCUGACUAACAUGAACAGAUAAUAUUUCAACUGAAGUAAUUCAGAAGAAUAUAUAUUUUCUCAAUGUUGAAAAAGAAUAAAGCAAAUUGUAUUACAGAAACAUUAAAAAAAAUUCAAGCAUGCAGAGCUGGAAACCACACGUUUCUUAUGUGAGUUCAUCAGUUGUGAAUGAAGGAAG